rnacentral:rRNA from 1 species
GGCUAACGCUGGCGGCGUGUCUUAGCCAUGCAAGUCGAGCGGACUUAUGGGGUAACUUAUAAGUCAGCGGCGGACGGCGGAGUAACACGUAGCUAACCUACCCUCUGGACGGGGAUAACCUACCGAAAGGUGGGCUAAUACCCGAUGUAGUCAUCCUGUAUAGGGGUGAUGAAAGGUGGGCUUCUGUUUACAAGCUCAUGCUGGAGGAGGGGGCUGCGGCCUAUCAGGUAGUUGGUAGGGUAAUAGCCUACCAAGCCGAUGACGGGUAGCCGGCCUGAGAGGGUGACCGGCCCGAGGGGCACUGAGAUACGGGUCCCACUCCUACGGGAGGCAGCAGGCUAGAAAUUUGGGCAAUGGGGGAAACCCUGACCCAGUGACGCCGCGUGCAGGAAGGAGCCCUUCGGGGUGUAAACUGCUGUCGUGUAGGGAGAAGGGUACUAAAGGUGAACAAUCUUAGUACUUGACGGUACUACAGGAGGAAGCCAGGCUAACCUCGUGCCAGCAGCCGACGGUAAAAUAGCGUACU